rnacentral:rRNA from 1 species
GUGCCAGCAGCCGCGGUAAUACGGAGGAUCCGAGCGUUAUCCGGAUUUAUUGGGUUUAAAGGGAGCGUAGGUGGACAGUUAAGUCAGUUGUGAAAGUUUGCGGCUCAACCGUAAAAUUGCAGUUGAUACUGGCUGUCUUGAGUACAGUAGAGGUGGGCGGAAUUCGUGGUGUAGCGGUGAAAUGCUUAGAUAUCACGAAGAACUCCGAUUGCGAAGGCAGCUCACUGGACUGCAACUGACACUGAUGCUCGAAAGUGUGGGUAUCAAACAGGAUUAGAAACCCUAGUAGUCC